GAUGAACGCUGGCGGCGUGCCUAAUACAUGCAAGUCGAGCGAACGGACGAGAAGCUUGCUUUUCUGAUGUUAGCGGCGGACGGGUGAGUAACACGUGUAUAACCUACCUAUAAGACUGGGAUAACUUCGGGAAACCGGAUCUUAUACCGGAUAAUAUUUUGAACCGCAUGGUUCAAAAGUUAAAUACGUUCUUGCUGUCACUUAUAGAUGUAUCCGCGCUGCAUUCGCUAGUUGUUAAGGUAACGGCUUACCAAGGCAACGAUGCAUAGCCGACCGGAGAGGGUGAUUGGCCAGACUGGAACUGAGAAAGGGUACAGACACCUACGGGAGGCAGCAGUAGGGAAUCUUACGGAAUGGGCGAAAGCGGGAAGGAGCAAAGCGGAGUGAGGGAUGAAGGAGUAAGGAUGGUAAAACUAUGUUAUUAGGGAAGAAGAAAAGUGUAAGUAACUGUGAACAUAAUGACGGUACCUAAAGAGAAAGCCACGGCUAACUACGUG
rnacentral:rRNA from 1 species